AGCCGGCGGCACGCCGCCCGCCCCCGCGGAUUACAGUCCGCACCACUUCCCGCGCCUGCGCCGCGAGCACGCGCACGCGGUGGGGCUCCGCCUCCCCUCACACGUUCCCGCCUCCUUCCCGUGAGUCCCGGCGGCGCUUGGCUUCGCUGGGCGGAGUGCGUGUUCCACCGGUGGCUGGGGUUGCGUCAGCUGUAGCAGCAGGUCCGCAAAAACCUGCUAGGAUGCGAGAUAAAACCAUCAUCUGUGAGAUUUAUGGUGUGCAUAAUUUCAGUCUCGUCAAUAGCUUGAUUAUCCAACAGUUCCAAGGGAGUAGACAUCAGCUCUUAGAGAAAUCGAACGUUGCCCAUCACUGUCUUUGCUGUGUUUCAAAUAUCAAACUGAAAAUCCAACACACUACAAAUGUGAGACCAUGUGGGCUGGCUGUGGAAGACACUAUAAAAACUAACAGCGGAACGUUCAUCUGGAGAUGUUCUAUGUUAUUUAUGAAAACGUAGAGACCAAUCCUGCCACCUUCUCUCACGCUAACAAUCCUACUGAGGUGUACACUGUAAAGACCCAGUUGUGGGAGUUACCAGGAAAAUGUAUGUGUUAUCACCCUGGUUUCCAAUGAAGAUUCAGUUUCCAGUGUUUCUCUUGAGACCUUCAGCCUCGCACUCUACUCUGAGAGUGUUUGUGCUGUGUGAAGACUGUGGUAGGGAGCAGAUAAGAUCUGGUUAUGAUGAGAGAAUCUGUUAACCAUCGUUGCCUUGCCUCUGUUAAUACUUGAACGACUGUCUUUAGAAAAACAGAAUGUAAGAGAUUCCACGACAGUAAUCUCCACUCUUUCUGCACAAGCCUCCAGCACUGGAGCAGUUCAAACUCCUUUGAGAAGAACCUCUAAAAGGAAUUACUGCUGAAACAGGAAAGAUUUUGGUUGAAUUUCAUUAGGAGAGACAUGGGAACAGAAAGAGAUUAAUGGCUUACCCAAAGUGAAUUACAAAUGAGAUAAGGAGUUGUCUCAGAACUUUUGCUCCAAGUAAUUUCCUAAUUACACAGAGAAUGUUGCACAUGUUCAAAUCACCUGCAGUUUUUCCUACUCUGCUUUCUCCUUGAAGCAGUGUUUGGAAGAGGAUAUCACACCUCUAAUCCAUUGGAUGUAAUGCUAAACAGGUGAGCCACAGCUAUACAAUCAUUCAGCAAUCAUUCAGCUGUUAUGUUUAAUACCUUCUCAGGAUGCAGUAUCUACCGAUUUGCUUCAACUUGAGUGUUGUUAGUAUUUGUAGGUGACAUUUUGCCUUUUGUCACACUUCAGUCUUUGGACUUAAACAUCUGAAAAGCCUGCUUGGAUGACUUCGUGCUACCUUCCAGGAAAGGAACUGUUUUUUUGCAGCUCCUUCUUACUCGUUUUGAGAAAAGGAUUAAAUCUUUCCUCUGACCAAGCAUACAGGCAUGCUAAAGUGAAGCCACUUCACGCUCCUGGCCAAACAAAGAACAAUAAUACCCACAAUAAGCAAAAGCAGAUGGCUUCAGUGGCAGGAAAUGAAUGAGCCAGACUGCAGGUUCUACUCUUGCUCUCUUAGGAAACGGCUCUUUGGAACAGUCAUCAUCAGUGUCACCAACACCUUUCCUGGAGUAUUUUUGGAGAUGGAAAGCAAUGUCUUUUACUGAAACUGAAUCGGGGCCGGGAAAGAUAAGUGCCACCUAAAUGAAGAAAAUAAAUGAGAUCUGAGCAAUAUGCUAAUGAAACAGUAGGAAUUAUUUAGUUAAGGAAUAGAAACUUCCCCGCCCACAAGCAUUUAAGUCAGUAGAGAGGGAGAGUUUCUCUUUAAAUACUAAUAUUUUAUUGAUGUAUAUUUCUAAUAGGCUAAAGGAUUGCAUUAAAAUAAUGAAUAAAGAUAUUUCAAGGAUGUUUAAAUCUGGCAGAUGCUGACUAGGAUGAGCAGAAUACCCAUCUGAGUAUUUUUGGAUAUAACACUUCUUAUGGUACACGGUAUCACAUUAUCUACCACCUAAAGUGCUGGAAACAGAAAAUUCAAGGUGCUUAGAUGGUGCUGCAAUAUCUUCAAGCUUUGUAGGACAGACCGUAAUCGUUAUACAUUUGUAGGCCCGUGCUUUGAGAUGUUCAAGAUGGAAUGGACCGGAUUAACAGAAUAGUGCUUCCCACUCUCCCAGAGGAGUGCUAUCAGCUUCAGGAGGGGAAGCAUGGAAGAUAGCUCUGUUUUUUUUCCCAACGCGAAGCCCUGUUAUUUACAUGGAAUUUCUUACUUCAUGUCUUUUUUCUUUGUAUUCAGGAAUGCAAGGGUACUUGUAAAUUGUAACAUCAUCAGGUGCCAGGAGCUUAGCGUGCACAGCAGUGCUCUUGCCAUCAGUUUCAUUUGGGUGCUUAAUAAUGUCAAUCUUCAAAGGGGCAGGAUCUGUGUCUACAAGGUAACAGCAGAUACAAGGUACCUGCAGGAGCAGUCCCAUCAGUUUUCAGCAUGGCUACUAGUAAGGAAUUAAACGUCUACAGACAGAAAGCUGUAAGAUCGAACUGUAACUAGACUUCAAUCUUUGUGCUGCAAUGUAUUGUGCAUAGGCAGGCAAACAAACUAAAUGAAAUUCUUGUUGACAGACCUUUGUAAGAGAAAGGAAAUCCUCCUGGAACAAAGCUUGAGGCUAGAUUAACACUUCAGAAGAGCGUUAAAAUAGGGCUGUGGCACUCCAUAUAGUAACUAGCUUUCUUCACAACAGACUCUGCAGCCGGUGCAGAGCUUUCUCUCUGCUUUCAGUAGCUCUGCCUGCCCAGCCGGGAUCACUACAGCUGUGCCGC